GUAAAAUGGGGCAGCUGCCUUGGAAAACAGUUUGAAAGUUCCUGAGAAAGUUAAACAUAGAAUUACCAUAGGACACAACCAUCCCACAUCCUGGGUGUGCGCCCAAAGAGAACUGAAAACCUAUGUCUGUAUGGAAACUUGUAUGUGAAUGUUAAUAGAAGCAUCAUUUAUAAUAUUCAAGAAGUGAAAACAGCCCAAACAUCUAUCAACUGCUGGAUGGAUAAAUGAAACAUGGGAGGCGCACGCAAUGCAACAUUACUUGACCAUCAAAAGGAGUGAAGGGCCGGUGCUCGCCACCAUGUGGAGAAACCUUGGCAACGUGCCAGGUGAAAGAAACCAGAGACAAAGGCCUCAUCCUGUGUGGUUCCGUCUACACACAAUGUCCAGAACAGGCAAAUCUGUAGACACAAGUCAGUUUGGGAGAGGGCAAUGAAGAGUGACUGAUCUGGGUGCAGGGCUUCUUUUUAGAUUGAUGAAUUGUUCUGGAAUUACAUAGUGGUGGCAGCUAAACUCGUGAAUAUCCUAAAAACAACUGAAUUGCAUUUUAAACAGCAUGUGAAUUAUACCUUUAAAAAAUGCACAGGCACACUAGAACAAAGGAAGAACAUGAACAUGUUAUAAGCAGCCGUUCCUAGGUGAAGGGAUUAUGGGUGCAGUCCUUCCAGAGACCUCAGUGGAAAAGCAGUGGGACCGGUUCUGCAACGGAUGGCGUGGGAGACCCCGCAAGCCCCCACCCCCAACUCCCCGUCUCGGAAAGAGACUUUGAGAAAUCGGGACUCCGCCCCCUGCUCCUCCGGCUCGCGAGAGAGCGAGGGUCGUCCCAAGGGCGAGCGGACACCUGCGCGCGCCCCCUGCUGGCCCUCGGGCGCCCUGCACGCUAGCACCGCAGCCCUGACUCCCGACUCAACCCACGUGAUCCCAGUCCUGGAAGUUUGGAAGGACAAACAAGAAAAUGUUCAAUUUACUCUAUGUGGUGGGAUUGAGGGAGAUUUUCAUUUUUAAUGUUUUGAUAUUAAGUUGUAUACAAUUAAGUAUCAUCGUGUGAUCGUGUUUUUAAGAAGCAAUAAAAGUUGCCUUCCAAUGGAAAAA